UGGGGAAUAUUGGACAAUGGGCGAAAGCCUGAUCCAGCAAUACCGAGUGAGUGACGAAGGCCUUAGGGUUGUAAAGCUCUUUUAGCAAGGAAGAUAAUGACGUUACUUGCAGAAAAAGCCCCGGCUAACUCCGUGCCAGCAGCCGCGGUAAGACGGAGGGGGCUAGCGUUGUUCGGAAUUACUGGGCGUAAAGAGUGCGUAGGUGGUUUAGUAAGUUGGGAGUGAAAUCCCGGGGCUUAACCUCGGAAUUGCUUUCAAAACUACUAAUCUAGAGUGUAGUAGGGGAUGAUGGAAUUCCUAGUGUAGAGGUGGAAUUCUUAGAUAUUAGGAGGAACACCAGUGGCGAAGGCGGUCAUCUGGGCUACAACUGACACUGAUGCACGAAAGCGUGGGGAGCAAACAGG
rnacentral:rRNA from 1 species